CUAUUAUUAGGUCAGGCGUGAAUACAAUGUAGUUCAGCUUUCAGUCUCUGUGUAGUAAAGGUGGUUAUAGUCGUGAAGACAAGAGAAAGGGUUUAAAAACAGUGAUAUGGAUUAAUACGUGAAACAAGUAUGGAUAGAGACGAAAUAUGGGCACUAGAGCUUCCAUUUUGACCUGUCAGUCUCCCACUGUGGAUACAUGUGACAGAUUACCAGGAAAAACAAAAAUAUCGAAUGGGCAUCCUUUGCGAGGGGAUGUGACGAAAAGAGUGGAAUCUCAAAACGAACGAAACAAGAAAAUAUUAGAUUCGCAGAAAAAGACAUGUUAUAAAGCCCAGGAGUUCAGUGAUCGUGUAUUAGAAGAGAAAGACAGAUUAUCACUACAUUCUAAAUCACGUGGUACAUCGAGAACUACAUCACGUACUGCAUCUCCAUCAAAUAAUAAAAAACAUGUGCACUUUGAACCAAUAUCCGACAAUGAAAUACAAGAACUCAAUGUGAAGGUCAAUGGUGUUAUUCAGCCAACUACGAAAGCGGACAUUUCAUAGAAAAAUAUUUAAAGAGCGUUAAAACUAGUAUAGCUUACCCAAGUGCUCAGUCGCCAUUUUACAGUUAUCUUUGGUUACUGUAGUUCUCAGUCACCACUAGUUACUAUAGUUCUCAGUCACCAUUGGUUACUAUAUUUCUCAUUCACCAUUGGUUACUAUAAUUAUCAGUCACCAUUGGUUACUAUAUUUCUCAGUCACCAUUGGUUACUAUAAUUAUCAGUCACAAUGGGUUACUAUAGUUCUAGGUCACUAUUGGUUACUGUAGUUCACAGCCAACAUUGGUUACAAGAUUUCCUGGAUUGCAAGUCACCAUCGGUUAACACGUGGCUCAUUUACCAAUGGUUAUGGUAGUGCUUAAUCACCAUUGGCUACCGUAAUAUUUAGGCACCAUUGGUUACCGUCGUACUUAGUCACAUUGCUUUAGUUAACAUAUUGCUUAGUUACCAUUGGUUACGAUAUUAACAUCAAAAUCGUGGUUUCCGGUUCAGUUUUUAGAGUUGUUGAAGUGGACGGGGUUUAUUCCAUGUAGUUUUAUUAUUAGACUCGUGGACCUUUUGAAACGUUGAUUAUUGUAUUAAAAUCGUGCAUUCGCCUUAUUUGAAGCACAUUUAUAUGAAUUCUCUGUAUGUGGUGAUAGAAGAAACAAGGUUUGAAAUGCAGAACACAAGGCUGUAAUCAGAUCAUAUAUUCAUAUUAUUUCUAGAGUGCAUUGUGCAUUACUGUGAUACAUUUUCUAGAACACGUGCUGUGAUAAAUUGCUGGCGAUUGAAAGGAUCAACAGAUAGUGUUUAGGGAAAAGGUUUUUAUAUGGGCUAAGCCUGUUCCCAAAUCCCAUUCAGGUAUUGGGUUUUUUUGGGUUUUUUUUUUCUUUUUUUGUAAAGACAUAUUGUGUUUCCAUGGAUUUGUUGAAUUUGUACAUAGAAUAUAAAUUAUAUGAUUUAAUGCUGUUAUAAAAGACGCUAUGCGUGAUUUUAGCAAGAACCCCUUGUAAAUUAAACGUUGAAUCUCUAAUAGGAAUGUCAGUCUAAAAAUAGUUCAUUUCCGUUCUAUAUUGACAAAUAUAUAACAGAUUGAAAAUUCCACCCGUCUAUGCUCUUCCCUAUAUCAAAAGACGACCGCCAUCUUUAUUUGCCGUGAACCAAAUUGAUGGGCCUGUUUUAAAUUUGUUUGAAAAUCCAACCGGGAGGCGGGGGGG